rnacentral:rRNA from 1 species
AUUGAACGCUGGCGGCGUGCCUUACACAUGCAAGUCGAACGGCAGCGCGGACUUCGGUCUGGCGGCGAGUGGCGAACGGGUGAGUAAUACAUCGGAACGUACCCUGUUGUGGGGGAUAACUAGUCGAAAGAUUAGCUAAUACCGCAUACGACCUGAGGGUGAAAGUGGGGGACCGCAAGGCCUCACGCAGCAGGAGCGGCCGAUGUCUGAUUAGCUAGUUGGUUGGGUAAAGGCCCACCAAGGCGACGAUCAGUAGCUGGUCUGAGAGGACGAUCAGCCACACUGGGACUGAGACACGGCCCAGACUCCUACGGGAGGCAGCAGUGGGGAAUUUUGGACAAUGGGGGCAACCCUGAUCCAGCAAUGCCGCGUGUGUGAAGAAGGCCUUCGGGUUGUAAAGCACUUUUGUCCGGAAAGAAAUCGCGCUGGUUAAUGCCUGGCGUGGAUGACGGUACCGGAAGAAUAAGCACCGGCUAACUACGUGCCAGCCGCCGCAGUAA